CAGUCGCCACGGGAAUACGUAGGGUGCGAGCGUUAAUCGGAAUUACUGGGCGUAAAGCGUGCGCAGGCGGUUCGUUAAGACAGAUGUGAAAUCCCCGGGCUUAACCUGGGAACUGCAUUUGUGACUGGCGAGCUAGAGUAUGGCAGAGGGGGGUAGAAUUCCACGUGUAGCAGUGAAAUGCGUAGAGAUGUGGAGGAAUACCGAUGGCGAAGGCAGCCCCCUGGGCCAAUACUGACGCUCAUGCACGAAAGCGUGGGGAGCAAACAGGAUUAGAUACCCGGGUAGUCCCUGUCUCUUAUAC
rnacentral:rRNA from 1 species